GAGGAGCAUCCAAAAGUUAGGAUGUUACCUGAUACAAUCUUCCUACAGAAAAUCUCUGUAGUAUUUUCCUGCUUGCAGUACUUAGCAAUAUCUGCAAGUCUCAGAUUAUCAGAGACAUGA
rfam:Prunus persica cultivar Lovell chromosome G1, whole genome shotgun sequence.